rnacentral:rRNA from 1 species
GACGAACGCUGGCGGCGUGCCUAAUACAUGCAAGUAGAACGCUGAAGCGUGGUGCUUGCACCGCGCGGGUGAGCUGCGGACGGGUGAGUAACGCGUAGGUAACCUGCCUGGUAGCGGGGGAUAACUACUGGAAACGGUAGCUAAUACCGCAUAAGAGUAGAUGUUGCAUGACACUUUAGUAAAAGGUGCAUUUGCUUCACUACAAGAUGGACCUGCGGUUUAUUAGGUAGUUUGGUAGGUUAAGGCCCACCCAGGCAACCGUACAUAGCCGACCUGAGAGGGUGGUCGGCCCACCUUGGACUGGGACACCGCCCCGGAUCCUUCGGGAGGCAACCGUAGGGGAUCUUCGGCAAUGGACGGAAGGCCUGCCGGAGCACGCCGCGGUAGUUGAGGAAGUUUUCGGGUCGUAAAGCUCUGGUGUAAAGGAAGGACCAAUUUUGUAGUUGAAAAUUCACGCUGUGACGGUACCUUACCAGAAAGGGACGGCUAACUACGUG